rnacentral:rRNA from 1 species
UACGGAGGGAGCUAGCGUUGUUCGGAUAUACUGGGCGUAAAGCGCACGUAGGCGGCGCCGUAAGUCAGGGGUGAAAUCCCGGAGCUCAACUCCGGAACUGCCCUUGAAACUGCAGUGCUAGAAUCUUGGAGAGGCGAGUGGAAUUCCGAGUGUAGAGGUGAGAUUCGUAGAUAUUCGGAAGAACACCAGUGGCGAAGGCGACUCGCUGGACAAGUAUUGACGCUGAGGUGCGAAAGCGUGGGGAGCAAACAGG